rnacentral:rRNA from 1 species
CGCCCGUCGCUCCUACCGAUUGGGUGUGCUGGUGAGAUGUCGGGAUUAGUGGCUGUGGGCGGUCCGCCGCCCUCUGCCGCUGAGAACUUCAUCAAACCCUCCCACCUAGAGGAAGGAGAAGUCGUAACAAGGUUCCU